AGAGAAAAAAAAAUUAAAGCUCUUUCCUUUCUCUUCUUAUCCUCUCUCUAGUCUGUAAGCUAAACCCCCUCUCCUUUCCUUUCAUUUCCCUUCCUUCCUUCUUUCCCUCCCUCAACACUCGCAUUCAUUCUUUGCUUCCUCCUUUUAUAUCACGAGAUCCCCAUCUCUUUUCCUUUCUCUCUCUGUCUCUCUGUGAUGUCUUCUUCAGAGACAUUUCUGGGUUUGUGUUUUGUUACAUCGCUCGUCUACUACUCGGUGUUUCUUUCUUUGGUCUCCUAUUCCCAUUCACAGACAUUGCUUACAGCAAUAAGAAUAGUGCUUUGAGAACUCGCUGGGGAGGGGAUAUCACAGGCUGAGAUACAAAGAGAGGGCGAAAGUUACAGAUAGAAUUCACUUAGAGCUUUCAUUUUGUUUGGUUGCUGAGAAAAUGUCGCAUUCCAGGAAGCCCACUGGGGACCUGGGGCUCGACUCGCUAACCGAUCAGCUCCGUGACUCUCUUUGUUCUAUCGAGGCCAAUAAGCCUGAUUUCCGUGAACUCGAUCUGGGCUCUCCCGUUUCUCCUCUCCGAACUCGUGGACUUAAUGCUACCGCCACCACUGCUACUACGACAACUACAACCAGCUCCAGUUCUAGCUCCUCUGGAUCGGUAUCCGGCAGCCGAAAUGGGCACAACCCAGUUCUUAAAUCUGGUCAUUCCGGUGAGCUUUACAACUCCAGCGAAACCAGUCCUUCAACGCCUCGCAGAAAUUCCACAUCUGUUACCUCCAGAUCCGACUCGUUAAUCUACUCGGGUGGCGGCAAUCAGAGCUCGGUGAACUCUCCAGCACCUGUUAAUGUACUUCCCACCGGGAACAUCUGCCCGUCGGGAAGAAUCUUGAAAACAGGUAUGGCAAUGAGCAAUCGGAGUUCAAAGACGGACGUUUUAGGAUCGGGGACAGGAAAUUACGGACACGGGAGCAUAAUGCGGGGUGGAGGAACGACGAAAUGCUGUAAUUUGGAUGCGGGAAAUUCGGUGGGUAGCUGUAGUACUGUCCGUGGAAAUGUUGGUGGCUCAAGGAUUGGGGGUAUGGAUCCGGAGGAGGUGAAGAGGGCCGGGAAUGAAAUGUAUAAGAAGGGCCAUUUUGGGGAAGCAUUAGCCUUGUAUGACAAGGCUAUUGCCAUGGCGCCGGGGAAAGCAGCGUACAGAAGUAACCGGGCGGCGGCUUUAAUGGGUAUGGGAAGAGUGGCAGAGGCAGUGAGAGAGUGUGAGGAGGCGGUGAGGUUGGAUCCUAAUUAUUGGAGGGCACAUCAGAGGUUGGGAUCUUUGUUUAUUAGGUUAGGACAGGUAGAGAAUGCCAGGAGGCACCUAUGCUUUCCAGGGCUUCAUCCAGAUUCUUCUGAAUUGCAGAAGUUGCAGUUAGUAGAGAAGCAUCUAAACAAAUGUUCAGAUGCCCGAAAGGUUAAUGAUUGGAAAAAUGUGUUAAGGGAAAGUGAAGCUACUAUUGCCGCUGGAGCUGACUAUUCUCCUCAGCUCUGUAUGUGUAGAGCUGAAGCUCUUUUGAAGCUCCACCAACUCGAAAAUGCUGAAUCAUGCUUAUCAAAUAUUCCAAAAUUAGAACCAUAUAGCAACUCUUGCUCACAGAGCAGGUUUUUUGGGAUGCUUUCUGAAGCUUACACUUUCUUAGUUAGAGCACAGAUUGAGAUGUCAAUGGGAAGGUUUGAUAAUGCACUUACAGCUGCUGAGAAAGCUGGACAGAUUGAUCCACGGAAUGUUGAAGUGUCAGUGCUGCUUCACAAUGUGAGAUUGGUGGCUAGAGCUCGUGCCCGUGGCAAUGAUCUCUUCAAAUCUGAGAGGUACACUGAAGCUUGCUCAGCAUAUGGGGAAGGCCUUAGGCUUGAUCCUUCAAACUCUGUUCUCUAUUGCAACAGAGCUGCGUGUUGGUUUAAGCUUGGACUGUGGGAGAGGUCUAUCAAUGACUGCAACCAAGCAUUGCACAUACAACCUAAUUAUGCAAAAGCCCUUCUUCGAAGAGCUGCCUCAAAUAGCAAGCUAGAAAGGUGGGCUGAUGCAGUGAGGGAUUAUGAGGUUCUGAAGAGGGAACUUCCAGAUGACAAUGAUGUUGCUGAAUCUCUAUUUCAUGCUCAAGUUGCGUUGAAGAAAUCACGUGGAGAAGAAGUGUACAAUAUGAAGUUUGGUGGUGAAGUGGAAGAAGUAUUGGGAUUUGAGCAGUUCAGAGCUGCAAUAUCUUUGCCUGGUGUGUCGGUAGUUCAUUUCAAAUCAUCCUCUAAUUUGCACUGCAAACAAAUAUCUCCAUUUGUGGAUACACUAUGUGGCCGCUAUCCAUCCAUAAAUUUUCUCAAGUUGGAUAUUGAAAACAACCCAGCAGUUGCAAAUGCUGAAAAUGUGAGGAUCGUACCAACAUUCAAGAUAUACAAGAAUGGUAGUCGAGUGAAGGAGAUUGUUUGUCCAAGUCAUAAUAUGUUAGAACACUCGGUGAGGCAUUACAGCUUUUAAAACUCAUGGCUCCAUGUGUACCGCUAUUCUCAGUCUCACAUUUUCUUCUUGGUAAGCUAAAGCCCUAUUUGAUGGGAACUAUUUACUGCCCACCAGUCUUUCCUCUCACCGUGUAAGGAUUUACCAGAUACCUGUCACAUAAACCAGAGCUACAUAAUAAUCCAUUAGAGGCCAUUGCCAGAGGAACCCAGAGAGAUAGUUUAGUUCUCCUUUAGCCGUAUUAAUUUAUUCAUUCAUUCCUCAUUGCUCUCUGGUUCCAUGUUCUUCCUUCCAUCUCUUUUUGUUAUUUUUUGUAUGCUCUUUGGCACUUUUUCUUUUUACAUUUUCUUGUAGGCCAGCCUGUUCUUGUAUACCCUCUUUGAUUCACAGGGAAAAGGGAAAAAAAGGACAAAGGGGGAAAAAAAAUAGAAGAGAUGUACAAUUGAUUAGGGUGGCUCCCUACUUGUUUUAGAGAGAGAGUGGCAGGCUGGUAGAAGAGGAUCU
rnacentral:misc_RNA from 1 species